AAGGAUUACUUGGUAUAACUGAUGAUCCCAACAAGAAAGCAAUGUGGUAGCAAUAUCAAAAUGUUCGUAGACAGUCAACAAUUCUUCAAUCGCAGCUUCUACUACUUCCCUUUUGUCGUCUGGAACAUCAAUAUUACAAAGCCCAUCCAAAAUGCCUUGAUAAAAAGACUGUGAGAAUAACAGUUGAUUCGAAUAGUUCGCGGUGACAUGAGAUACGAAAAUAUAAUA